rnacentral:rRNA from 1 species
CAGUAGCCACGGUAAUACGUAGGUCCCGAGCGUUGUUCGGAAUUACUGGGCGUAAAGCGCACGUAGGCGGCUUUGUAAGUUAGAGGUGAAAGCCUGGAGCUCAACUCCAGAAUUGCCUUUAAGACUGCAUCGCUUGAAUCCAGGAGAGGUGAGUGGAAUUCCGAGUGUAGAGGUGAAAUUCGUAGAUAUUCGGAAGAACACCAGUGGCGAAGGCGGCUCACUGGACUGGUAUUGACGCUGAGGUGCGAAAGCGUGGGGAGCAAACAGGAUUAGAUACCCCAGUAGUCCCUGUCUCUUAUAC